GAACGGGUGAGUACACGUGAGUAACCUGCCCUUGACUCUGGGAUAAGCCUGGGAAACUGGGUCUAAUACCGGAUACGACUGCUCCGCGCAUGCGGUGGUGGUGGAAAGCUUUUGCGGUUUUGGAUGGACUCGCGGCCUAUCAGCUUGUUGGUGGGGUAAUGGCCUACCAAGGCGACGACGGGUAGCCGGCCUGAGAGGGUGACCGGCCACACUGGGACUGAGACACGGCCCAGACUCCUACGGGAGGCAGCAGUGGGGAAUAUUGCACAAUGGGCGAAAGCCUGAUGCAGCGACGCCGCGUGAGGGAUGACGGCCUUCGGGUUGUAAACCUCUUUCAGUAGGGAAGAAGCGAAAGUGACGGUACCUGCAGAAGAAGCGCCGGCUAACUACGUGCCAGCAGCCGCGGUAAUACGUAGGGCGCAAGCGUUAUCCGGAAUUAUUGGGCGUAAAGAGCUCGUAGGCGGUUUGUCGCGUCUGCUGUGAAAGACCGGGGCUCAACUCCGGUUCUGCAGUGGGUACGGGCAGACUAGAGUGAUGUAGGGGAGACUGGAAUUCCUGGUGUAGCGGUGAAAUGCGCAGAUAUCAGGAGGAACACCGAUGGCGAAGGCAGGUCUCUGGGCAUUAACUGACGCUGAGGAGCGAAAGCAUGGGGAGCGAACAGGAUUAGAUACCCUGGUAGUCCAUGCCGUAAACGUUGGGCACUAGGUGUGGGGGACAUUCCACGUUUUCCGCGCCGUAGCUAACGCAUUAAGUGC
rnacentral:rRNA from 1 species